AACGCGCCUUCGCGUCAUUUAUUAUUAUAUUGAAAUUAAAUAACACGAGUUGAUUUCAAGCGAUAUCCAUUCUCCCUAGUUAUGAAACCUAUAAAUAAUUUCUCAAUGUCAUAUCAAAACUUAAGGAAAAACGAAAGCGAGGUUACCUUAAUCUGUAUAAACCAGUCACCAAAGUCUCGUGUUGGGUUGAUGUUUAGACGAGUUGUAUAUAUAGAAUGUACACAGCCAUAUAUCACCAUCACUGCUGGUAAUCCGAUGGA
rnacentral:lncRNA from 1 species